UGGGGAAUAUUGCACAAUGGGCGAAAGCCUGAUCCAGCCAUGCCGCGUGUGUGAAGAAGGUCUUCGGAUUGUAAAGCACUUUAAGUUGGGAGGAAGGGCAGUAAGUUAAUACCUUGCUGUUUUGACGUUACCGACAGAAUAAGCACCGGCUAACUCUGUGCCAGCAGCCGCGGUAAUACAGAGGGUGCAAGCGUUAAUCGGAAUUACUGGGCGUAAAGCGCGCGUAGGUGGUUUGUUAAGUUGGAUGUGAAAGCCCCGGGCUCAACCUGGGAACUGCAUCCAAAACUGGCAGGCUAGAGUACGGUAGAGGGUGGUGGAAUUUCCUGUGUAGCGGUGAAAUGCGUAGAUAUAGGAAGGAACACCAGUGGCGAAGGCGACCACCUGGACUGAUACUGACACUGAGGUGCGAAAGCGUGGGGAGCAAACA
rnacentral:rRNA from 1 species